UGUGGGAGCGAGCUUGCUCGCGAUGGCGGUGUGUCAGUCACCUCGAUGUUGGCAGUGAUGGCCUCAUCGCGAGCAAGCUCGCUCCCACA
rnacentral:misc_RNA from 1 species